rnacentral:rRNA from 1 species
GACGAACGCUGGCGGCGUGCUUAACACAUGCAAGUCGAACGGAAAGGCCCUGCUUUUGUGGGGUGCUCGAGUGGCGAACGGGUGAGUAACACGUGAGUAACCUGCCCUUGACUUUGGGAUAACUUCAGGAAACUGGGGCUAAUACCGGAUAGGAGCUCCUGCUGCAUGGUGGGGGUUGGAAAGUUUCGGCGGUUGGGGAUGGACUCGCGGCUUAUCAGCUUGUUGGUGGGGUAGUGGCUUACCAAGGCUUUGACGGGUAGCCGGCCUGAGAGGGUGACCGGCCACAUUGGUACUGAGAUACGGACCAGAGUCCUACGGGAGGCAGCAGUGGGGAAUAUUGCACAAUGGGCGGAAGCCUGAUGCAGCAACGCCGCGUGCGGGAUGACGGCCUUCGGGUUGUAAACCGCUUUCGCCUGUGACGAAGCGUGAGUGACGGUAAUGGGUAAAGAAGCACCGGCUAACUACGUG